UACGUAGGGGCCUAGCGUUGUCCGGAAUUAUUGGGCGUAAAGAGCUCGUAGGCGGCUUGUCGCGUCGACUGUGAAAACCCGAGGCUCAACUUCGGGCUUGCAGUCGAUACGGGCAGGCUAGAGUUCGGUAGGGGAGACUGGAAUUCCUGGUGUAGCGGUGAAAUGCGCAGAUAUCAGGAGGAACACCGAUGGCGAAGGCAGGUCUCUGGGCCGAUACUGACGCUGAGGAGCGAAAGCGUGGGGAGCGAACAGG
rnacentral:rRNA from 1 species